GUUAGAUUGGCAGAUUAAGUGCUUUAAAUUUAGAAUUUAAAAAUGUAGUUUAUUACAUCUAAUA
rnacentral:tRNA from 1 species